UUUUUUUUUUAAAUCUUUCUUUGUGUUUAGUAAAUCACAAAGCAAAGCUGCACAUUUCUGGGUUAAAUAUUUCAAAAGUUUGACUUAAUAUGUACAUUUUUCAACCUCAGCAAAAAAGCAUCAGAAAUUGAAAGCCUUACACGUUAAAAACAAACUAAACACCUUCAGCCAAAUUCUAGAGCAACAUCUGGAAAUAACUUUCUCUUACUGCAUCCUCCCACCCCGCUUCUCAAUUUGUCUUUUUCUGUCUCCAGUUGUAAAAAUUCUCAUCUUCAUGUUUAAAAUGAAAAUGUUCUUCUUAAUGUUUUCCUUGAACAUGAAGCAGAGGCUCUGUGAAACCUAAACUAUAUCCUCCAAGUCUAUGAAAGCACAA
rnacentral:lncRNA from 1 species